rnacentral:lncRNA from 1 species
UUGGUAGUAGUGAGUCUCCCAUACCCUACUAAGAGUUUCCUCCAAAACUCUCGAAUUCCAAUGAGGGAUAUGAAAUUUGCCAAAAAUAGUGGGUGGUGCUAUUUGAUUUAAAGACCCGGAUCAAAUGGCUUAAAAUCAAUCAAUUUAUAUUCGUUAUUUAUUUGUUUACCAAUAUAUUUGCAAACGCUAUCCAACACUUGACAAAUAAAAGCCGAAAGCUUUAGUUUCCGGACUUAGUACUACAAAACCAUAGAUUGUCUUUAAUGGCUUGUAAAUGUACCUAAGUAGUCUCAUCCUCACAAUCUUCCUAUUGAUAAUGUAUCAUUAGAAAAAUAUGUUAGAAAAGGUCUAUCAUAAAGAGGACAACACUUUUAAUGUCAUAAUUCUUCAAUUACAAAUUGUUGUAUGAAGAAAUAGGAGUUGCUUUGAACAACUCUUAGUCAAUGCAAACACUUAGUGCUUGUCUCUUUGUUACAUGAACAAGGAACUUGAGAAGAAAGCACAAAGGCAUGGACACUUAAUGUGCCAUGAUUCUUCACUUACAAUUUGUUGUAUGAAGAAAUAAGAGUUGCCUUGUACAACUCUUGAAAGUUUGUAAUUAUGUUUAGAACAUAAUGGUUGGUUGACAAAAAUAGUCCAUUAACAUGGACUUAUGAUGAUUUUGAAUCAUUGAGUGUUGAAGUGAUAAACCACUUAACGAGACAGAAACUAGGCAAGGACUUCACCUAUGUGUCCCUAUCCUAAUGGUUCACUAAGUUUAUUGUAAACUAUGUAGUGAACAAUAAACACAUGCUCUCCAAAAUGUUUGAUGUGUAUAACACAAUUGAAAUAAGUUUCAAGAGAGAUAGUGGGAGUUUAGGGACCAUGACUAAUGUAGUCAAAGGUGAAAGUCAAAA